CCCCCUCGUGUCAUUGGAAACAACUAGUUUGCUUUGUUAUGCAAAUGCUGGUGACGGAGUUUCAGAAGCUAUGCUUUUGUCUCCACCUUUUGGCUUAUUUACCUUCCCUUUUUCUCCAUUCGAUUCCACCGUAUCUUGUUUCUUUGGUGUUAAAAUCUAUAUAUACCCGUCGCAUUUCUUGCUUGUCAAACAUCAUUCUCUCCAUUUCUCUACCUUCCAUUUUUCCCUGCUCUUAUGUAACCUUUUUAGGUACUAGUUUCUUUGUUAAGCCUUUCUUUAUACUGCUGAUGAAUCAAUUUCGCUAUUAUCUAAAAACAUGUUUAUUUUUGCAAAUAUUCAAGUUUCUAAUGAUGAUAUGGAAUGUUAUUUAGUUUGCAGGUUACCUAUAUUUUGAGUUGAGGGUCGG
rnacentral:lncRNA from 1 species